rnacentral:rRNA from 1 species
CGGCUAACUUCGUGCCAGCAGCCGCGGUAAGACGAAGGAUGCAAGCGUUAUCCGGAUUCAUUGGGUUUAAAGGGUGCGUAGGCGGACUUGUAAGUCAGUGGUGAAAUCUCUCAGCUUAACUGAGAAACUGCCAUUGAUACUGCAGGUCUAGAGUACAGAUGAUGUGGGCGGAAUAUGACAUGUAGUGGUGAAAUACUUAGAUAUGUCAUAGAACACCGAUUGCGAAGGCAGCUCACAAAACUGUAACUGACGCUGAGGCACGAAAGUGCGGGGAUCAAACAGGAUUAGAUACCCUGGUAGUCCGCACCGUAAACGAUGAUUACUCGUUGUUGGCGAUAUGACAGUCAGCGACCAAGCGAAAGCGAUAAGUAAUCCACCUGGGGAGUACGCCGGCAACGGUGAAACUCAAAGGAAUUGACGGGGGCCCGCACAAGCGGAGGAGCAUGUGGUUUAAUUCGAUGAUACGCGAGGAACCUUACCUGGGCUUG